UAACCUAUUCUCAAACUUUAAAUAUGUAAGAAGUCCUUGUUACUUAGUUGAACGUGGACAUUUGAAUGUACCGUUACUAGUGGGCCAUUUUUGGUAAGCAGAACUGGCGAUGCGGGAUGAACCGAACGCGAGGUUAAGGUGCCGGAAUGCACGCUCAUCAGACACCACAAAAGAUGUCAGUUCAUCUAGACAGCCGGACGGUGGCCAUGGAAGUCGGAAUCCGCUAAGGAGUGUGUAACAACUCACCGGCCGAAUGAACUGGCUCUGAAAAUGGAUGGCGCUCAAGCGUGCUACCUAUACCUCGCCGCCAGGGUAGAAACGAUGCCCUGGCGAGUAGGCUGGCGUGGAGGUCCGUGACGAAGCCUUGGGGGUGACCCCGGGUCGAACGGCCUCUAGUGCAGAUCUUGGUGGUAGUA
rnacentral:rRNA from 1 species